rnacentral:rRNA from 1 species
AACGAACGCUGGCGGCAGGCCUAACACAUGCAAGUCGAGCGAGGACUUCGGUUCUAGCGGCGGACGGGUGAGUAACGCGUGGGAAUGUGCCCUUCUCUACGGAAUAGCCCUGGGAAACUGGGAGUAAUACCGUAUACGCCCUAUUGGGGAAAGAUUUAUCGGAGAAGGAUCAGCCCGCGUUGGAUUAGGUAGUUGGUGGGGUAAUGGCCUACCAAGCCGACGAUCCAUAGCUGGUUUGAGAGGAUGAUCAGCCACACUGGGACUGAGACACGGCCCAGACUCCUACGGGAGGCAGCAGUGGGGAAUCUUAGACAAUGGGGGCAACCCUGGUCUAGCCAUGCCGCGUGAGUGAUGAAGGCCUUAGGGUUGUAAAGCUCUUUCAGCUGGGAAGAUAAUGACGGUACCAGCAGAAGAAGCCCCGGCUAACUCCGUG